rnacentral:lncRNA from 1 species
AUAGAGAGCUAUGGAGAGCUAUGGAGAGCUAUGGAAGGUAUGGAGAGCUAUAGAGAGCUAUGGAAGGUAUGGAGAGCUAUUGAAAGCUAUGGAAGGUAUGGAGAGGUAUUGAGAGCUAUGGAAGGUUUGGAGAGCUUUGGAGAGCUAUGGAGAGCUAUGGAAGGUAUUAAGAGCUAUGGAAGGUAUGGAGAGCUAUGGAGAGCUAUUGAGAUCUAUGGAAGGUAUGGAGAGCUAUUGAGAGCUAUGGAAGGUAUGUAGAGCUAUGGAGAGCUAUGGAGAGCUAUGGAAGGUAUUAAGAGCUAUGGAAGGUAUGGAGAGGUAUUAAGAGCUAUGGAAGGUAUGGAGAGGUAUUGAGAGCUAUGGAAGGUUUGGAGAGCUUUGGAGAGCUAUGGAGAGCUAUGGAAGGUAUGGAGAGCUAUGGAAGGUAUGGAGAGCUAUUGAGAGCUAUGGAAGUUAUGGAGAGCUAUGGAAGGUAUGGAGAGCUAUGGAGAGCUAUGGAAGGUAUGAAGUAAGUAAAAAAAAGGGUGGUAAAAGAGGGAAGGCCUUGGUAUUCUUCGUCUCCUGAAGAUCAUGAUGGAUGAUCAGCGACAGUUUGCAAUAGCAAGUUGAGUUGAGGCCAGGGUGAGCAUUCCUUGGCACUGUUAAACAUGUCUCUAUAAACACACACACACACACACACACAGGUCUUACAAGCUUCGCUGACCUCUCAUAGUUGCGGACAGUAAUGACAUUCCAGCUUCUCCGUGUUUGUGUUAUAUUUCCAUUUUGACUCAGAGGAACACCAUGUUGAGGUCAGUGACCAACCAUGUAGUCCAUACUGACUAGUUAUAUUGCUAUGUACACCGCAUUAGCUGAAGUACUUUGGUUGAGGUUACAGUAAUAUGUUGUCACGAUUAUACAUUCAAGUAAAUGGAUGUUGACUCUCUAGCUACUAAAAACGAAAGAGCCUACAAGUUUACUUUAACGUAUAUUUGAGUUGUGUAUUGUGUACUUAAAAUCAACAAACCAUUAUUAGAUAAGCAAUAUUACUAGCAUACAAACUAGGUAAUCAGUACCAGU